GCUAGCUGGAUAGCUCAGUUGGUUAAGCGUGUGGCGCUGACAAUGCCAAGGUUGCAGGUUCGAUCCCUGACAGCUGCA